ACAGCAGCAGCCGCGGUAAUACAGAGGGUGCGAGCGUUAAUCGGAUUUACUGGGCGUAAAGCGUGCGUAGGCGGCUUUUUAAGUCGGAUGUGAAAUCCCUGAGCUUAACUUAGGAAUUGCAUUCGAUACUGGGAAGCUAGAGUAUGGGAGAGGAUGGUAGAAUUCCAGGUGUAGCGGUGAAAUGCGUAGAGAUCUGGAGGAAUACCGAUGGCGAAGGCAGCCAUCUGGCCUAAUACUGACGCUGAGGUACGAAAGCGUGGGGAGCAAACAGGAUUAGAUACCCCUGUAGUCCCUGUCUCUUAUAC
rnacentral:rRNA from 1 species